rfam:Rattus norvegicus chromosome 9, whole genome shotgun sequence.
ACACAGGCUCUCCUCAGAGCCACAGCAGUUCAUAUGUGGUGUUCUU